rnacentral:tRNA from 1 species
CAAACCGGAUUACACUGAUACCAAUCAGCUAGCCCACCCCUAAAAAUCAACCAAUCACCAUGCAUACCCCCUAAU